UUUGGGGAAUAUUUGAUUUCUUUUUUCUUUCUUUUUUUUCUUUCUUUUUCUCUUUUUUUUUUCUUCCCGAUCCACCUACGACAACUAUCGGAAAAUCAUUCUCUAUAUCGAUCAAAAAAAAAAUACUGACUAACAUUUGGAUCAUCUCGACAGAUACAGAGAAACAGAAAGGGAGAGACAGAGAGAGAGAGAGAGAGAGAGAGAGAGAGAGAGGGAUAUACGUACAGUCAGAUCUUCCUUCAAAGAUCUUCAUACUUGUGAGCAACUUCGUGCGUUCGCGCCAACUCGAAAUCAGCCGAACAUGGCCGAAGGUAUCUACAUUACAAGGAACGGAUAUAUAUGUAUGUCGGAUACACACGAGUGAUUUAUUCAUAUAUAUUGUACAUUUAUUCUACGUAUUAUACGCGGUUCUAUAUGAUAAGAAGGAAAUAUGGUUGUUGUGAAAAAAGAUGGUAAACAUUUAUAAAUUUCGAUUGAGAAAUGCACGAUUAGGGUAAAUAUGCAUAUAUGUAUCUAUUUAACAAAGUAAUCUUAAUCACAAUCGAUGUAGAAAAAGAUUAAAUUGAUGAAAGAAGAAUCAA